GAAAAUGACCCCCAUAUUUGAGUGCAUAGUGAGCAGUUAGUGGAAUUGUUUGGGGAGGAUUAGAAAAUAUGGCCUUGUUGGAGUAGGUGUGGCUUUGUUGGAGAAGGAGUGUCACUGGGAGUAGGCUUUGAGGUUUCAAAACCCUAUGUGAGGUUCAGUCUCUCUCUUUCUGUCUGUUGCCUACAGAUUAGGAUGUAAAGCUCUCAGCUUCUGCUCCAGUGUCAUGCUGGUCUGUUUCCUGCCAUGGGGAUCAUGAACUAAACUAAGGACAUCAGUGAAGAUAAUGAGCCCGCUGUGACAGAAUGGGGCAGAGUGCAAGGAAAGGAAGAGUGGAACCCGGGGUCAGGAAUACCGAUGACAUGUGACUGGACAUCCGAGA
rnacentral:lncRNA from 1 species